rnacentral:rRNA from 1 species
ACGUACACUCCUGCGGGAGGCAGCAGUGGGGAAUAUUGCACAAUGGGCGCAAGCCUGAUGCAGCCAUGCCGCGUGUAUGAAGAAGGCCUUCGGGUUGUAAAGUACUUUCAGCGGGGAGGAAGGCGAUAAGGUUAAUAACCUUGUUGAUUGACGUUACCCGCAGAAGAAGCACCGGCUAACUCCGUGCCAGCAGCCGCGGUAAUACGGAGGGUGCAAGCGUUAAUCGGAAUUACUGGGCGUAAAGCGCACGCAGGCGGUCUGUCAAGUCGGAUGUGAAAUCCCGGGCUCAACCUGGGAACUGCAUUCGAAACUGGCAGGCUAGAGUCUUGUAGAGGGGGGUAGAAUUCCAGGUGUAGCGGUGAAAUGCGUAGAGAUCUGGAGGAAUACCGGUGGCGAAGGCGGCCCCCUGGACAAAGACUGACGCUCAGGUGCGAAAGCGUGGGGAGCAAACAGGAUUAGAUACCCGUGUAGUCCCAUGAU